GGCCGAGGAGGAGAAGGCCUUGGCCGCAAAGCUGGAGAGGAGGUUCAGGCUUGAAAAGAAGCAUGCAGAGGUUGCAGC
rnacentral:SRP_RNA from 1 species